UACGUAGGGUGCAAGCGUUGUCCGGAAUUAUUGGGCGUAAAGAGCUCGUAGGCGGUUUGUUGCGUCGGCUGUGAAAUCCCGAGGCUCAACCUCGGGUCUGCAGUCGAUACGAGCAGGCUAGAGUUCGGUAGGGGAGAUCGGAAUUCCUGGUGUAGCGGUGAAAUGCGCAGAUAUCAGGAGGAACACCGGUGGCGAAGGCGGAUCUCUGGGCCGAUACUGACGCUGAGGAGCGAAAGCGUGGGGAGCGAACAGG
rnacentral:rRNA from 1 species